UACAGAGGGGGCAAGCGUUAUUCGGAAUUAUUGGGCGUAAAGGGCGCGUAGGCGGCCUGGCAAGUGGAUGGUGAAAUCCCUCGGCUUAACCGAGGAACUGCCAUCCAGACUGCUUGGCUUGAGACCGGGAGAGGUGAGUGGAAUUCCCAGUGUAGCGGUGAAAUGCGUAGAUAGUUGGGAGGAACACCAGUGGCGAAGGCGGCUCACUGGACCGGUACUGACGCUGAGGCGCGAAAGCGUGGGGAGCAAACGGGG
rnacentral:rRNA from 1 species